CGGAGCCUCAUGCUCAUUGCAUUUUGAUUUUCUGACGAGUUUUACCAUAUGAUCUUCUUGUUAUGGCCAAUUUGAGAACACUUCCAUAAGAACCUAAAUCCAUACUUGUAUAUAUAUUUCUCAUUGCUGUAUUACCUCGUGAGUGGAUAAUUUUCCAUAUGCAUGAGAAAUAUUAUAAAUAUUUGAUUUGCUAAUAUGAAUUGGAUCAUGCUUCUUGAUAAUAUAUAUGUUAAUUAUUAUCCUUGUUUUGAUAAAGCAUGAUUAAUUAUUGAAUCUGAAUUCUUGAUAUGAACCAACAUAUAUUUUGAAUUAACUUCUGAAUUGAUAGCUCCUCAUUUGAUUGAUGUCAUGAGUUGAGUUUUGAGAUAUGAAUAUGUUUGUUAGAUUAUGAUUAUGAACCUAUGGUAUGUCAGUCAGAAUACCCAUGCUAACAGGGUAGUGUUAGUCUUUGUGCACAUCGUAUCUGAACCCUAGUUGGUCGGGGGAGUCACCAACCUGUGUGGACUGAUCAUCCCACAGUACGGAGCCUCAUGCUCAUUGCAUUUUGAUUUUCUGACGAGUUUUACCAUAUGAUCUUCUUGUUAUGGCCAAUUUGAGAACACUUCCAUAAGAACCUAAAUCCAUACUUGUAUAUAUAUUUCUCAUUGCUGUAUUACCUCGUGUGUGUAUAUUGAACGUUAUCUACUCACUGAGUUGUUGAACUCACCAUCUCAUUAUUUAUCCUUUUCAGGCUUAUAGCUUGAUAGCAGGUCAUUUUGUUGGACCUUCAGAACCUGCUCUUUUGGUAGUAAUUUGUACCUUUCCUUUAUGUCUAGUUAGUGCUCCAAAACUCUGAACUUUUAUAAACUUUUGUAUUAAGACAAUUCAAUUAUAUUAUGAAGUUGAUUUUGUUAUUAA